AGAGUUUGAUCCUGGCUCAGGACGAACGCUGGCGGCGUGCUUAACACAUGCAAGUCGAACGAGAAUCUGUGGAAAGAGGAUUCGUCCAAUUGAAGCAGAGGACAGUGGCGGACGGGUGAGUAACGCGUGAGGAACCUGCCUUUCAGAGGGGGACAACAGUUGGAAACGACUGCUAAUACCGCAUAACACAUAGGUGUCGCAUGGCACUUAUGUCAAAGAUUUAUCGCUGAAAGAUGGCCUCGCGUCUGAUUAGCUAGUUGGUGAGGUAACGGCCCACCAAGGCGACGAUCAGUAGCCGGACUGAGAGGUUGAACGGCCACAUUGGGACUGAGAUACGGCCCAGACUCCUACGGGAGGCAGCAGUGGGGAAUAUUGGGCAAUGGGCGCAAGCCUGACCCAGCAACGCCGCGUGAAGGAAGAAGGCUUUCGGGUUGUAAACUUCUUUUGUCAGGGACGAGUAGAAGACGGUACCUGACGAAUAAGCCACGGCUAACUACGUGCCAGCAGCCGCGGUAAUACGUAGGUGGCAAGCGUUGUCCGGAUUUACUGGGUGUAAAGGGCGUGUAGCCGGGAGGGCAAGUCAGAUGUGAAAUCCACGGGCUCAACUCGUGAACUGCAUUUGAAACUACUCUUCUUGAGUAUCGGAGAGGCAAUCGGAAUUCCUAGUGUAGCGGUGAAAUGCGUAGAUAUUAGGAGGAACACCAGUGGCGAAGGCGGAUUGCUGGACGACAACUGACGGUGAGGCGCGAAAGCGUGGGGAGCAAACAGGGUUAGAUACCCUGGUAGUCCACGCUGUAAACGAUGAAUACUAGGUGUGCGGGGACUGACCCCCUGCGUGCCGCAGCUAACGCAAUAAGUAUUCCACCUGGGGAGUACGACCGCAAGGUUGAAACUCAAAGGAAUUGACGGGGGCCCGCACAAGCAGUGGAGUAUGUGGUUUAAUUCGACGCAACGCGAAGAACCUUACCAAGUCUUGACAUCCUGCGACGAUGCUGGAAACAGUAUUUUCCUUCGGGACGCAGAGACAGGUGGUGCAUGGUUGUCGUCAGCUCGUGUCGUGAGAUGUUGGGUUAAGUCCCGCAACGAGCGCAACCCUUACUGUCAGUUACUACGCAAGAGGACUCUGGCAGGACUGCCGUUGACAAAACGGAGGAAGGUGGGGAUGACGUCAAAUCAUCAUGCCCUUUAUGACUUGGGCUACACACGUACUACAAUGGCGUUAAACAAAGAGAAGCAAGACCGCGAGGUGGAGCAAAACUCAGAAACAACGUCCCAGUUCGGACUGCAGGCUGCAACUCGCCUGCACGAAGUCGGAAUUGCUAGUAAUCGUGGAUCAGCAUGCCACGGUGAAUAUGUUCCCGGGCCUUGUACACACCGCCCGUCACACCAUGAGAGCCGGGGGGACCCGAAGUCGGUAGUCUAACCGCAAGGAGGACGCCGCCGAAGGUAAAACUGGUGAUUGGGGUGAAGUCGUAACAAGGUA
rnacentral:rRNA from 1 species